rnacentral:rRNA from 1 species
UACGUAGGGCGCAAGCGUUGUCCGGAUUUAUUGGGCGUAAAGAGCUCGUAGGCGGUCUGUCGCGUCGGAUGUGAAAACCCGGAGCUCAACUCCGGGCCUGCAUUCGAUACGGGCAGACUUGAGUACUGCAGGGGAGACUGGAAUUCCUGGUGUAGCGGUGGAAUGCGCAGAUAUCAGGAGGAACACCGAUGGCGAAGGCAGGUCUCUGGGCCGAUACUGACGCUGAGGAGCGAAAGCGUGGGGAGCGAACAGG